rnacentral:rRNA from 1 species
CAGCAGCCACGGGAAUACGUAGGGUGCAAGCGUUAAUCGGAAUUACUGGGCGUAAAGCGCGCGCAGGCGGUUAUAUAAGACAGUUGUGAAAUCCCCGGGCUCAACCUGGGAACUGCAUCUGUGACUGUAUAGCUAGAGUACGGUAGAGGGGGAUGGAAUUCCGCGUGUAGCAGUGAAAUGCGUAGAUAUGCGGAGGAACACCGAUGGCGAAGGCAAUCCCCUGGACCUGUACUGACGCUCAUGCACGAAAGCGUGGGGAGCAAACAGGAUUAGAUACCCCAGUAGUCCCUGUCUCUUAUAC